CAGAAGACUCAGAAAGUGGCGUUUACAUGCGAUUCAUGAGGUCUCACAAGUGUUAUGACAUCGUUCCAACCAGCUCAAAGCUUGUUGUCUUUGACACCACGUUACAAGUUAAAAAGGCCUUCUUUGCCUUAGUAGCCAAUGGUGUGCGAGCAGCGCCUCUGUGGGAGAGUAAGAAGCAGAGCUUUGUAGGAAUGCUAACAAUUACAGAUUUCAUUAAUAUACUACAUAGAUACUAUAAAUCACCCAUGGUACAGAUUUAUGAAUUAGAGGAACAUAAGAUUGAAACAUGGAGGGAGCUUUAUUUACAAGAAACAUUUAAGCCUUUAGUGAAUAUUUCUCCAGAUGCAAGCCUCUUCGAUGCUGUACACUCGUUGAUCAAAAAUAAAAUCCACAGAUUGCCAGUUAUUGACCCUAUCAGUGGGAAUGCACUUUAUAUACUUACCCACAAAAGAAUCCUCAAGUUCCUCCAGCUUUUUAUGUCCGACAUGCCAAAGCCUGCCUUCAUGAAGCAGAACCUGGACGCUCUGGGGAUCGGGACGUACCACGACAUCGCCUUCAUCCACCCAGACACGCCCAUCAUCAAAGCCCUGAAUGUCUUCGUGGAAAGACGCGUGUCCGCCCUGCCCGUGGUGGACGAGUCAGGAAAAGUUGUAGAUAUUUAUUCCAAAUUUGAUGUAAUUAACCUCGCUGCUGAAAAGACAUAUAACAACCUAGACAUCACAGUGACGCAGGCCCUGCAGCACCGGUCACAGUAUUUCGAAGGUGUUGUGAAGUGCAGUAAGCUGGAGAUACUGGAGACCAUCGUGGACAGAAUAGUGAGAGCUGAGGUCCAUCGGCUGGUGGUAGUAAAUGAAGCAGAUAGCAUCGUGGGUAUUAUUUCCCUGUCAGACAUUCUGCAAGCCCUGAUACUCACACCUGCAGUUUCAGGGGUACAGCAUUGCAGCUCAGCAUGUGUAUGCACUACACAGUGACCACCACAGGGCUCGCCACCAUCCGUCACCAUACAGUUGACCCCUUCACUCACUUCACCCAUCCCCAGCCCCCUUCCCCUCUGGUGCCAAACAGAAGGAGACGGAAAGCGAAUGACGGCCGUGAGUGGAGGGGCCCUGCAGGAGAACUUGAACACAGAUGCUGGUCGCGCUUUGCUUCAUGAACACCGACCGCGAGAGAACAGAGUAAAAUGGCUGAGCAUGUGGAUCAGGGUUUAGUGAUGGGUACUUUUUCCAGUGAUGUUGAAACUAAACAUAAAAAAGAAAGAUCUUGUGCGUCUGAAGAUUCAACCUAGCAUUAAAAGACUGUUUUCAGACCGCUGUCUGAAAGAGUUCAAAUGCUGUAAGUCAUUAAAGUGCACUGUCCUGAAUUUCUAUUAUUUUUCAUUUUAAAUAAGUCACUGGUACCUAACAGGUAAUAUGACAUAAGGCGAGUGUAUGGCAUAUUCAGAUCUAGUGCCUUAUGUCAGAACAGCGAUAUGUCAUCACUACUGCCCACCCAUCGCAACUGGGGUGCAUACUUGUGAAAUGACCCUGCUGGAGCGUGAAUGGCUUUGAACCUUUACCAAAUCAGUUUGUUUUCAUUAGAUUUGUUGAACAGCUAUAAUUUGAAUAUAAAUAAUUACUUUAUAAAACUUUAAUGACGGUUUUAUGUUUAAGUGUUCCGUUCUGAACUAUAGUGUAAACAAGACUGCUUUACAACAGCUUUAUUUAUUUUUACUUUCAUGCAAUUUUUUACACAUCUUUUGUGGGUAAACUUCACUACCCAUUAACAAAUCAUUGGUUGUUGUUUGAAAAGGGCAGAUUUCUCAUUAUUUAAGUUUGGAUCUGGAAAGGAUAUGACUUCUCAACAGCCACUGGUAGGUUUUAAAAGCUGAAGUUUCUAACAGCACACGUGGGAACCUGCUCUGCAGGGCUGCAGACAAAGUGCCGGGAAGAUGUCUAUUUUUUCUUGUGUUUUGACAUGAAAAUCAUGAUGUUUGUGUGACUGCUGACGCGAUUGUUUUGUAAAUUUUACUGUGGCAUAUACAGUAUUGUCAUAUGGUUGAGGAGAAACACAAUGUUUCCUAAUAUAAGUGCUCUGAAAAUGUUGACACUGUAUAUAUAUGAGUAUAGUUUGGUUUUUUGUUUGGGUUUUUUUUUUGCAGAUUGAAAAAUUAAAAUAAAUCUGACUAUCUACCA